CCUACGGGAGGCAGCAGUAAGGAAUAUUGGUCAAUGGAGGCAACUCUGAACCAGCCAUGCCGCGUGCAGGAAGACUGCCCUAUGGGUUGUAAACUGCUUUUAUCCGGGAAUAAACCUGCUUACGUGUAAGUAGCUGAAUGUACCGGAAGAAUAAGGAUCGGCUAACUCCGUGCCAGCAGCCGCGGUAAUACGGAGGAUCCAAGCGUUAUCCGGAUUUAUUGGGUUUAAAGGGUGCGUAGGCGGCCUGUUAAGUCAGGGGUGAAAGACGGUAGCUCAACUAUCGCAGUGCCCUUGAUACUGAUGGGCUUGAAUGGACUAGAGGUAGGCGGAAUGAGACAAGUAGCGGUGAAAUGCAUAGAUAUGUCUCAGAACACCGAUUGCGAAGGCAGCUUACUAUGGUCUUAUUGACGCUGAGGCACGAAAGCGUGGGGAUCAAACAGGAUUAGAUACCCUGGUAGUCCACGCCCUAAACGAUGAACACUCGCUGUUGGCGAUACACAGUCAGCGGCUAAGCGAAAGCGUUAAGNGUUCAACCUGGGGAGUUCGCCGCAAGGGUUGAACUUCAAAGGAUUGAGGCGNGAGAGNGCGAGACGACGACGAGGAGGAGG
rnacentral:rRNA from 1 species